ACAUUACUCUCACCCCAAUGACCGUGCAUAACCUCAGGCAAAGACCAUCAGUGCGCGGGAAGAAAAAAACACGAACAGCACAGUGAUUUUUACCUUGUACGGUUAAAAAAGAGUUUUCCACAGCACCCGAGUUUUUGCCCGGUGAUUAGUCUUCGUUCAAGGCUUCGCUGAGAACUUUUCUCCCCUUCUCAAAAGGAGUCCACGCUGUAGGACAGCUGUUGCUUACGCAUGGGUGUCUUGAAUGAAACCUGAGAGUUGUCCCAGUUCGCGCGUCGACGGACACCAUGUGAAGUGCUACGUUGUGCUGAUGUGUCUUAGAUUCCCACGGAUUCGCAUGUUUACGACACCUUUAUACUGAUAUCUGGAACAUGGUAAGCGAUAUCUAGAAUGGAAUUAACAUACACUAUUUGCCUAUUAACUGUAUUUAAAGAGUCUGCAUUCUUAAAUACAAUGCCUAAGGGCGAAAUUGAUGCUCAUAUACGGGAUAUUUUAGAUAACGGAAUUAAAGAGUGGCGCAUUUCUGUUCAUUGUAAAUAUGAACUGGGUGAAUAACAUGUACAUUUUCCAUGUCAAACGGGUUUUACAUUCUGACCAGUGUGUAACCAUAAGUCUAAAUUUUGGAACACAUUUUAGCAUAUCUCAGCAUAUCUUAGCAUAUCUCAGCAGAUAUAGAUAUUUUUCUAAAUAUUAUUUACCAAAAAAGUUUCAGCAACCCGUCUGCCACAAAUUGAAGUCACCUAUAAUGCUCUUUAAUACCCCACACACUCCUCUACGAAACUUGUCUUGUUACAUACAAUAAAUUCACUUUCAGCUAAUCCAUCA